rnacentral:rRNA from 1 species
CUACGGGAGGCAGCAGUGGGGAAUAUUGGACAAUGGGCGCAAGCCUGAUCCAGCCAUGCCGCGUGAGUGAUGAAGGCCCUAGGGUUGUAAAGCUCUUUCACCGGUGAAGAUAAUGACGGUACCCGCAGAAUAAGCCCCGGCUAACUUCGUGCCAGCAGCCGCGGUAAUACGAAGGGGGCUAGCGUUGUUCGGAAUCACUGGGCGUAAAGCGCAUGCAGGCGGAUCGUUAAGUCGGGGGUGAAAGCCCGAGGCUCAACCUCGGAAUUGCCUUCGAUACUGGCGAUCUUGAGUCCGGGAGAGGUGAGUGGAAUUGCGAGUGUAGAGGUGAAAUUCGUAGAUAUUCGCAAGAACACCAGUGGCGAAGGCGGCUCACUGGCCCGGUACUGACGCUGAGACGCGAAAGCGUGGGGAGCAAACAGGAUUAGAUACCCUUGUAGUCC